AUGGACGUGCUGGAGCACCACGACGUGCUGUCCGACAUCCUCCGCCAUCUGCCGCCCUGCAGCCUUGCCGCCUGCCGCUGCGUGUGUGCGGCCUGGCGCGCAGCCGUUGACGACCACCGCCUGCUGCACGCCGAUCUGCUCCCGCUCUCGCUCCAUGGCGUCCUCUACCAGACCCAAGAUACGUUCAUCACCAAAAUCUUCUCCCGCACUUCCACGGCGGACCGCGUCGUCGCCGCCUUUCGUGGCCUUGACGACAAGUUGCCUGAACUUAUGGACUGCUGCAACGGCCUCCUCCUAUUCUGGCACUACGUGCUAAACCCCGCCACCCGGCAGGUGGCGCAGCUGCCCCCGCAGCCGCACCCCUGCGAGGCAAUGGACUGUACUCGUUGCUGGGAUGAUCACUACCUCAUCUAUGACACUACCGUGUCGCCACACUUCGAAGUGAUCUUGGUGCCAUACCCUCACCACGAGAUUCAGGUGUGUCAUAUCUCCAGGCAUACUUGCGGUCACGGAUCAGUCGUUUCUGCAAUGGAAUGGCCACCUUCACCCUACAUUAUGCAUGUCUUCUCCUCAAAAACGGGGUGCUGGGAGAAGAGGUCAUUCCGGCGACAGGGAGAGACCGCCGGAGCACUCGCCGACGUCAAAAUCAAACUGCCAAAUCUCUUAUGCUUUUUAUAA
rnacentral:rRNA from 1 species